CGACAGGUUGCUUUCACACAGUCAUUCUCUGAAGUUUUGCCUGUGCAUAAAACUCAGAACGACAGGUGGAUGCAUAUUAGGAAACUUGUUGCUUGGUGAAUGGUGUCGGGAGCAAGGAUUUAGCUUCAUUUCUGAUGGUAGCUCUGUUUGGAAUGGAAAUAAACUGUACAAAAAGAUGGUUUGCAUCUUUCUCAAAAGGGAACAGAUGUUCUCAGUGAGCAAUUCAACAUUUUUGCUGGG